rnacentral:tRNA from 1 species
GACGAGGUGGCCGAGUGGUUAAGGCGUGGGUUCGAAUCCCAUCCUCGUCG